AUUUAUUAAUUAAUUAACAUUUGCUGUCUGGAUUAAUUUCUCACAAAGUGUAAACCAUGCAUCAUUACUAGUUAUAAUAUUAUAGUCUAAAUUGCGCGUUCUUUUUUCAGGAUUCCAGUUAAUAAAGAGUGGAGGGCGUUGUGGGUUGAUGCCAUGAACCUUGACACUAAUGUGACAAAACUGCAUGUGUUUGUAGCUUACAUUUUACUGAUGAUGCGUAUGUAACAGUAGCUAAGAAAAAGUUAAAGCCACAAGCAGUUCCUUCAGUAUUGCCUAAGAUAGUUCCAAAAAGCAAAAAAAUUACAGUUCUGGGUAUUCAAAAGUUGAAAGGAGUAUCUUUUGUACAUACUUCAUCUUCUAGUCAUAUCACAGUAGUAGGAACUUCUUAUGAACGAGGAGGACCUUCUAGUAAACGGGAUGAUGUAGAAAUUUCUGGUGAACCGCCCAA